AUUGAACGCUGGCGGCAGGCCUAACACAUGCAAGUCGAACGAGUGGCGGACGGGUGAGUAAUGUCUGGGAAACUGCCCGCUGGAGGGGGAUAACUACUGGAAAUGGUAGCUAAUACCGCAUACCAUCGGAUGUGCCCAGAUGGGAUUAGCUAGUAGGUGGGGUAACGGCUCACCUAGGCGACGAUCCCUAGCUGGUCGGAGAGGAUGACCAGGCAAACGGGAACUGAGACACGGGGCAGACUCCUACGGGAGGAAGCAGUGGGGAAUAGUGCACAAUGGGAGAAAGCCUGAUGCAGCAAUGCCGCGUGUAUGAAGAAGGCCUUCGGGUUGUAAAGUACUUUCAGCGAGGAGGCGUUACGCGCAGAAGAAGCACCGGCUAACUCCGUGCCAGCAGCCGCGGUAAUUC
rnacentral:rRNA from 1 species